rnacentral:rRNA from 1 species
UACCUGCGGAGGGAUCAUUACUGAGUUACCGCUCUAUAACCCUUUGUGAACAUACCUAACCGUUGCUUCGGCGGGCAGGGGAAGCCUCUCGCGGGCCUCCCCUCCCGGCGCCGGCCCCACCACGGGGACGGGGCGCCCGCCGGAGGAAACCAAACUCUAUUUACACGACGUCUCUUCUGAGUGGCACAAGCAAAUAAUUAAAACUUUUAACAACGGAUCUCUUGGUUCUGGCAUCGAUGAAGAACGCAGCGAAAUGCGAUAAGUAAUGUGAAUUGCAGAAUUCAGUGAAUCAUCGAAUCUUUGAACGCACAUUGCGCUCGCCAGCAUUCUGGCGAGCAUGCCUGUUCGAGCGUCAUUUCAACCCUCAAGCACCGCUUGGUUUUGGGGCCCCACGGCACACGUGGGCCCUUAAAGGUAGUGGCGGACCCUCCCGGAGCCUCCUUUGCGUAGUAACUAACGUCUCGCACUGGGAUUCGGAGGGACUCUUGCCGUAAAACCCCCCAAUUUUUUACAGGUUGACCUCGGAUCAGGUAGGAAUACCCGCUGAACUUAAGCAUAUCAAA